GUAAUGUAGUGUGUGUGUAUAUAAUGCAGAGUGUGUAGUAUGUGCAUUAUAUACACACACACACUACAUUACAUUAUAUACACACACACUACAUUA
rnacentral:miRNA from 1 species